rnacentral:rRNA from 1 species
AGAGUUUGAUCCUGGCUCAGGACGAACGCUGGCGGCGCGCCUAACACAUGCAAGUCGAACGGACGAGGAAGUGCUUGCACUUCCGAGUUAGUGGCGACGGGUGAGUAACACGUGAGCAACCUGCCUUUUAGAGGGGGAUAACGUCCUGAAAAGGACGCUAAUACCGCAUAAAGUCGAGAUGUGGCAUCGCAUCAUGACCAAAGGAGUAAUCCGCUGAAAGAUGGGCUCGCGCCUGAUUAGCUAGUUGGAGUGGUAACGGCACACCAAGGCGACGAUCAGUAGCCGGACUGAGAGGUUGAACGGCCACAUUGGGACUGAGACACGGCCCAGACUCCUACGGGAGGCAGCAGUGGGGAAUAUUGGGCAAUGGGGGAAACCCUGACCCAGCGACGCCGCGUGAGGGAUGAAGGUUUUCGGAUUGUAAACCUCUGUCUUCGGGGACGAAAAAUGACGGUACCCGAGGAGGAAGCCACGGCUAACUACGUG